CCGCGGCCUCCCCGCUCCCCUCACGCCGCCUCCUACCGCCGCCCUCAGCGCCGCCGCGGCCCAGGCCAGCGCCAUCUUUCCCGCCUCUACUCCCUCACGCUCCGCCCCUCUCCCUCACGCGAGGGCGGGCGCCGCCAUCUUGCCUCCCCCUCAGAGCGGCCGCGCAUGCGCAGCGCCCUCCCCCGCCCUCCCCGAAUUAAAACUGCGCCACACGGCGCGCGGACAAUGGCGGGCGGCGGCCGCGCGCGCGCGCCCUGAGGGCCCCGCGCAGGCGCCGUUGGGCGGCUUAACGAGAAGGGGGCGUGGCCAAAGCCCUCCGGGGGGCGUGGCCAGGCGCGGGGCGUGGCCCGGUAUAAAAAGCCGCUCCCGGCGUUGCCGCUGCCAUUCUGAGGGCUGGUGGAGGUUUGGUUGGUCUUGAGAGACGCCGUCGCCUUUACCACGAGAGAAAAACCAAUACAAACAAUACAAAAUACAAUACAAAACGCGAACAAAACAACAAUAUAUAUAUAUCUAUAUAUAUACAACAAAGAGGGGAAGGAAAAAACAGGUUUUCUCUCCCCCUUUGCCUUGAAGAGCCGCCGCAGCCUCUCCGUCCUUUGGACCGUCCUUGGAAGCCGUUCCAAACCCGAAGGAAACUGCCACUUUAAAAAACAUAUUUCCCUCUUCUUUCCCCCAAAAAAACAAAGGCAAAACCCACUUUUUUUUUUU